rnacentral:sRNA from 1 species
GUCAUCGUACUAUCGUCUCCCUACACAACAGUGAAUGUAUCAUCCACAAAAAGGAAUAACUGUAGUCACCUUAGACUAAGGCACAUGUAUGUGUAAAGCACUCAAGUCAUAUUGAAUCUAUAAAAUGUUGUCCGUCCAAAGUUUCUAGUUAGUUAAUGUCACUGUAUCUUAACUGAUGAGUUUACACCCAUUCUUUCACUUUUUUAACCUGCCGUUUAUAUACAGUAACUAUAUUUUUUAUUUUGUUUAACAUCAAACAUGUUGACUAAUAUAUAAACAAUUUAGACAUUUUAACAAUUCGAUGCACCAUAUUUUUUUCUUUGAGACGCUCAGUAAACGUCUAUAAAUGUUUGUUAAGCAAACUGCGCAAAUUUAAGAACUAAAUUGUUCUCAAAGCAAUAAAAACAAUGAUUUUAUUGACAACAUGUAAAAUAUCAAUUUUAAAAAAAGACAAUUUCGUGCUUUUCAAAAAUUUAGAGCAUAAAUUAUUUAAAACAAUACCAUAAUAUAUAUUAAAGAUUUAAAAGGAAAUUCUAUCAAUACAUUGAUAAAAAU